rnacentral:sRNA from 2 species
UGUGCAUGGCAUGAAAACACUAUCGAUUCGUGAUAUCCCUGCACUUGUAAAUACAUUUCAAUUUCAUGUUGGUGAGAAUAGGUCUAUACGGAACCAGGAACUGCGGGAGACGCUAUGUCCACGGCAACGUAAAGUGCAAGUUGAAGCAUGAAAUCCAGGUUUACUAGGAUCUAAAAUGAUGCGACCACGAUGGCUAUCAAGCACCCUGAAAUUUGAAUGUGUCAAUGUGUAUGGUAAUUCCAAGCUGUAAUUUUUGUUACAACCCCAGUAUAUUAGACUCAACUAUUACCCUUAGAGGAAGUUAACACAUCGGAAAAUGUUGACAACUGUAGUGGUCGGAGGUGGCGAGAUAUCCAAAUAGAGCCGCAUACAUUAGCCUCUCUCUUGAAGCGUGUGAAAAAUCUUCCAAGACUGCCAUAUUGAUACCCUCCGGUGGUUGACCCUUCGAUAGGAGUUGCAUAGAAACCAUUUUCGGACAAUGGAUGACAACAGGAUUUCCGAGAGGGGAUUCAUAUUCAGGUUCUAACGAGUGAUGUUCAAUGAUCGAUAUAAUAUUGCAUUCCUUUGUUAUUCUCUAGUGUUUGCACUGCUAUAUACAGCCGAAUAUAAUUAUUUAGAAUAUAUCCGGAUAUAUAAUAUUUAUUUUAAAGGCC